UGAGAGAAGAAUGGUUUUCUUGCAGA
rnacentral:piRNA from 1 species